AGUAACGCGUGGGUAACCUGCCUUAUACAGGGGGAUAACAGUCAGAAAUGGCUGCUAAUACCGCAUAAGCGCACAGAGCUGCAUGGCUCAGUGUGAAAAACUCCGGUGGUAUAAGAUGGACCCGCGUUGGAUUAGCUUGUUGGUGGGGUAACGGCCCACCAAGGCGACGAUCCAUAGCCGGCCUGAGAGGGUGAACGGCCACAUCGGGACUGAGACACGGCCCAGACUCCUACGGGAGGCAGCAUG
rnacentral:rRNA from 1 species